GUGUCAGCAGCCGCGGUAAUACGGAGGGAGCUAGCGUUGUUCGGAAUUACUGGGCGUAAAGCGUACGUAGGCGGUUACUCAAGUCAGAGGUGAAAGCCCGGGGCUCAACCCCGGAACUGCCUUUGAAACUAGGUAGCUAGAAUCUUGGAGAGGUCAGUGGAAUUCCGAGUGUAGAGGUGAAAUUCGUAGAUAUUCGGAAGAACACCAGUGGCGAAGGCGACUGACUGGACAAGUAUUGACGCUGAGGUACGAAAGCGUGGGGAGCAAACAGGAUUAGAUACCCUGGUAGUCCACGCCGUAAACGAUGAUAACUAGCUGUCCGGGCACUUGGUGCUUGGGUGGCGCAGCUAACGCAUUAAGUACCCCGCCUGGGGAGUACGUGCGCAAGCCUGAAACUCAAAUGAAUUGACGG
rnacentral:rRNA from 1 species